rnacentral:rRNA from 1 species
UGGUAACCAUAGCGUUUUGGACCCACCUGACCCCAUGCCGAACUCAGUAGUGAAACGAAACAGCGCCGAUGAUAGUGUA